GAUGAACGCUGGCGGCGUGCUUAACACAUGCAAGUCGAGCGAAGCGCUUAAGUCUGAUUCUUCGGAUGAAGACUUUUGUGACUGAGCGGCGGACGGGUGAGUAACGCGUGGGUAACCUGCCUCAUACAGGGGGAUAACAGUUAGAAAUGACUGCUAAUACCGCAUAAGACCACGGUACCGCAUGGUGCAGUGGUAAAAACUCCGGUGGUAUGAGAUGGACCCGCGUCUGAUUAGGUAGUUGGUGGGGUAACGGCCUACCAAGCCGACGAUCAGUAGCCGACCUGAGAGGGUGACCGGCCACAUUGGGACUGAGACACGGCCCAGACUCCUGCGGGAGGCAGCAGUGGGGAAUAUUGCACAAUGGAGGAAACUCUGAUGCAGCGACGCCGCGUGAAGGAUGAAGUAUUUCGGUAUGUAAACUUCUAUCAGCAGGGAAG
rnacentral:rRNA from 1 species